rnacentral:rRNA from 1 species
GUGAACGCUGGCGGUAGGCCUAACACCUGCACGUCGAACGGCAGCACAGUAAGAGCUUGCUCUUACGGGUGGCGAGUGGCGGACGGGUGAGGAAUACAUCGGAAUCUACUUUUUCGUGGGGGAUAACGUAGGGAAACUUACGCUAAUACCGCAUACGACCUACGGGUGAAAGCAGGGGAUCUUCGGACCUUGCGCGAUUGAAUGAGCCGAUGUCGGAUUAGCUAGUUGGCGGGGUAAAGGCCCACCAAGGCGACAAUCCGUAGCUGGUCUGAGAGGAUGAUCAGCCACACUGGAACUGAGACACGGUCCAGACUCCUACGGGAGGCAGCAGUGGGGAAUAUUGGACAAUGGGCGCAAGCCUGAUCCAGCCAUACCGCGUGGGUGAAGAAGGCCUUCGGGUUGUAAAGCCCUUUUGUUGGGAAAGAAAAGCAGCAGGUUAAUACCCCGCUGUUCUGACGGUACCCAAAGAAUAAGCACCGGCUAACUUCGUG